UACGUAGGGUGCGAGCGUUGUCCGGAAUUAUUGGGCGUAAAGGGCUCGUAGGCGGUUUGUCGCGUCGGGAGUGAAAACACCGGGCUUAACUCGGUGCUUGCUUUCGAUACGGGCAGACUUGAGGCAUGCAGGGGAGAACGGAAUUCCUGGUGUAGCGGUGAAAUGCGCAGAUAUCAGGAGGAACACCAGCGGCGAAGGCGGCGCUCUGGGCCGGAACUGACGCUGAGGAGCGAAAGCGUGGGGAGCGAACAGG
rnacentral:rRNA from 1 species